AGUAAGAUAGGAUAAGUUUAGUCUAUCAGGUUCAUACCCUGAGGGUAUUUAUUUCUU
rnacentral:tRNA from 1 species